UUCGCAAUGCCCGAAAGGGUGACGAAGCGACGCCGCGUGGGUGAAGAAGGCCUUCGGGUUGUAAAGCCCUGUCAGGAGUUAUGAAAUGUAAGUGCGCUAAUAUCGUGCUUAUUUGACAAAGGCUCCAAAGGAAGCCACGGCUAACUCUGUGCCAGCAGCCGCGGUAAUACAGAGGUGGCGAGCGUUGUUCGGAAUUAUUGGGCGUAAAGAGCACGUAGGUGGGUUUGUAAGUCAGAUGUGAAAGCCUUCUGUUCAACGGAAGAAUUGCAUCUGAAACUGCGAAUCUUGAGUAUAGGAGGGGAGAAUGGAACUUCUGGUGGAGUGGUGAAAUGCGUAGAUAUCAGAAGGAACGCCGGCGGCGAAAGCGAUUCUCUGGCCUAUUACUGACACUCAGUGUGCGAAAGCUAGGGGAGCAAACGGGAUUAGAUACCCCGGUAGUCCUAGCCGUAAACGAUGGGCACUAAGUAGAGGGGUUUU
rnacentral:rRNA from 1 species